CAAGACAUGGCACUGACGGGGGCUCCCGACGAGUUGGCUCUGGCUUCUUCAGGGGGAAAGCAGCUGGAGGGAGAGGAGAAGACCGAAGCCCCUCGUCACACGCGCGCUCCCACGCGCCAGCCUCGAGCGCACGCAUUCCGGUCCCGUCACCUCGGAGCCAGCGACACUUGGGAUCCCGACCCGGUUCUGCAGCCUCCUCCCCGCGCCCGUGCUCCUUCAGCGUCCGUCGUCCCCCACGAGCCUCCCUGCUCCUGAUUCCCUUUCAGGAAUUUACAAACAUUUCCCGCAGAUCAAUAUCUGUAUUGAUUAUUCAUUGUGAGGGAGUCGUGUGUCUUUGGUGAUCCAGCCUUGCAGAGGUAGCAGUCAAAGGCGGCUGCAGGGGGAAAAAAAAAAUCCAACCACCCACAGAAGGCGCGAGAGGGACCCAGCUCCUGGCUGGAUCUGCCGCUGUCGGCCACCCAGAAAGCAGGAGCCCAAGGAGGAGAGCACCGAGAGAUGCAGGCGUGGCUCAGGUGGGAGAGCAAGAGGGAGCACCAGCAAGCAAAAAAAGGCAGCGAGCACCGGAUGUUGGGUACCAGGGAUCUUGGAAGCUUGGAGGACAGCCCCGUCUGGGGUCGGCUGCUGGUGCAACUGUGCGUGUGGACUUACUCUGCUCUGGGAGGGAGAAGCGCCUCGCAGUUUGGGUAUCUCCUACGUAAGAGCUUUGGGGGGAUUCCUUGGCUGGCUGACAGGGCAGGAUGCCUGCAGCGGCAGGGAAGUACAGCCCUGUCUCUUUCCACCGCCUUGCGGAGGAGAUGCAGCCCCGUUGGUUUGCUCCGAACAGCUUGCGGCUCUCUGAUGGCACGCGGAGGGAGAAUAAUUAAAAAGGCCAGCAUCACUUACUAAGGAUUACCGGAAAAGACAGUGAAAUGACAGGAAAACAUCUUGGAUCAGAGCCAAAACAAGGAAAAAAAAAUUCGAGGCAAAUCAAGUCUGCAGCUUGGAGGAGAAAUAUACUCCUGGCUCCUCAUCGGAGGCUCUGAUAGGAAGUGCCUGGUGUCCCUCAGCCAAGAUGGAAUAUUUUUGGGGCUCCCAGGGACAUGACCAGGGGUCUCCAGAGCUUCCAUAGGGAAGACCCACGGCAUACCAGGUGACUUGGUUAUGUCAGACGUUGAGAAAAUAAAACCAAAUAAUUAAAACCGA